GACGAACGCUGGCGGCGUGCUUAACACAUGCAAGUCGAACGGUAAGGCCCUGCUUUUGUGGGGUGCUCGUGUGGCGAACGGGUGUGUAUCACGUGAGUAACCUGCCCUUCACUUUGGUAUAUCUUCAGGUAACUGGGGCUAUUACCGGAUAGGAGCUCCUGCUGCAUGGUGGUGGUUGGAACGUUUCGGCGGUUGGGGAUGUUCUCGCGGCUUAUCAGCUUGUUGGUGGGGUAGUGGCUUACCAAGGCUUUGAAGGGUAGCAGGCCUGAGAGGGUGACCGGCAACAUGGGGACUGAGAUACGGAACAGACUGCAACGGGAGGCAGCAGUGGGAAAUAUUGCAAAAUGGGGGGAAGCAUGAUGAAGCAAAGCCGCGAGCGGGAUGAAGGCCUGCGGGUUGUAAACCGCUUUCGCAGGAGAGGAAGAGUGAGUGACGGUAAUGGGUAAAGAAGCACCGGCUAACUACGUG
rnacentral:rRNA from 1 species